rfam:Mus musculus chromosome 2, GRC primary reference assembly.
GUGUGCUUUGGCAUCACCUAUACUAAAAUUGGAGUGACACAGAGAAGAUUAGGAUGGCCCCUGUGCAAGGAUGGCGUGCACAGUGAUGGAACAGUCCAUACUUUA